rnacentral:lncRNA from 1 species
UUCCUCUCUAAGCACCAAGUUAACAAAGAUCAGUAAAGGAAUUAUUAUGCAUUUCUUCAUUUAAGCCAGACUUCCAGUUUUUCCAGCUGUUGUAAGUUUAUUUUUCUUGGCAAUAAAAAUCACUCCUCCCACUAAGUUGAUGCUCAGAACAGACUCUGAAUAGUGGACAAGUUUGCAGAGCAGUGAAUAACUACACCACAUACAAAGGAAUGCAGGUCGUCUCGCAGCCUCUCACUCAAACCAGCGAGAACUUCUUGUCUACAUCACCCUUCCACUGGCAAAUAACAUUGAGUACUUCUUCCCAUCUGUCUUCACUGACUUCUCUAAGACAUCAACAAAUCAGAUGUCAAUCAGGCCUUCCUGCACAACCCACUAGACUGCAGAACAUCCUUCCCCUCUUUCAUAUUUCUUGGGUUUUCUUCUCUUUUUACUAUAGAUUAAGCAUUUCCAGACUCACUGGAACUCCACACCUUUAGGCAAUAUCUUGAGUGGCCACUAUAAAAACAACUGAUAGUGUUUCAUGAUGUUCAUCAUUCCUGCAGCACUUGUCCGAACACUAGCCCAGUAAAUCCUUUUAAUAUUGCAGUAGAUUGGGAUUUUUACUUUUGUUUUUUCGUUUUUAGCCAGCAGGGCAUACAGAUCAUGGCCACGCUAAAGGAACAUGAAAUGUUUUUGAUUCUGUUUAAUGAUGGGGACGUUUAAAUAGCCACGACUAGAGAAGAUCAAAUUAGUCAUUGUGAAUACCAUUUGUUGCUAAUUC